UACGUAGGGCGCAAGCGUUAUCCGGAAUUAUUGGGCGUAAAGAGCUCGUAGGCGGUUUGUCGCGUCUGCCGUGAAAGUCCGGGGCUCAACUCCGGAUCUGCGGUGGGUACGGGCAGACUAGAGUGAUGUAGGGGAGACUGGAAUUCCUGGUGUAGCGGUGAAAUGCGUUGAUAUCGGGAGGAACACCGAUGGCGAAGGCAGGUCUCUGGGCAUUAACUGACGCUGAGGAGCGAAAGCAUGGGGAGCGAACAGG
rnacentral:rRNA from 1 species